GCUAGUGUGGUGCAGUGUUUUGAGUGUUGGACUAGGAUACUGGAGGCCAGGGUUCAAAUCCCCACUCGGGCA